rnacentral:lncRNA from 1 species
AUAACGUGGCAAGAAACAACCUCGUGCACAUAUCCUUAAGUCUGCCUUUCUGGAGGAUGCUUGAUCACUGUUGGGAGGAAGAAGAGAAAAGCGAAGACCCGUGUUGAUAAGGCAGCACCGUUUCUAGGAAUCCACGCGUUUCAUUCUGUCUGCUCUUGGGGAGGAAACAAUGGGGGGGCAUAUUCCCUCUUGUCUGAGAAGGAGAUGAAGCCCCUGUGUCCUGGGAAGGCUGAAAUGAAGCUUUGUAGGGUGAGGAGAACAGCCUGGGCGCUCCCACGGCAGCACAGGAACCCUCCCAGAUCUGGGCAGACCGCGCGCAGGGCCACAGCCCGGAGGCACAGAACCAGAGGCACAGGAUGGUCAUCCAGCCCACAGAGAGCUCAGCCAUGGACACCGAGGCCUGUGGAGCAUCAGUGACUUGAAGGUUGUGCUGACUCUACUCCAUGCCUUCCUUGGAGCUGCAAGCCCUUGGCCUCCUCAUCCUCUUCUUCUUGAACCAGCCCCAGCCUAUGGUGUUAAAUGGCCCCACACACCUCGGUCCAGCCUUGGCCACCCCUGGAUGGGGCUCAGGGCAGCAGUUUCCACAAAGCCUUGUAACUUGAUUGAGAAUUUGAGCAGCAGCAGCCAGUUCUCCUGAGCCCCGUCCUAGCUGGAAACUCUGGAGGCCUUUGUAUAAAUGCCCCACUAUGGGGUCCAGCUCAAGGGUGGCUCAGACACAGUCUGGAAUGGUCCCUGGUCAUGGGUCAUCCAUGGCAAGCUGGAAGCCAGGCUGAGCACACCCAAAGCCCUGGUUGUAACCCUAAGCGUCCUGAUGACUCACUGGGUGAUUGAUUUCAAAAUCCCCAGUUGCUGGUUGGUGCCAUGUGUCUGAUGGCCCAGAUGCCCUGGACUCUGAGCAGCUGUGUCACAGACAGAAUUUCCCACUGGCCCCUCGUCCCUGUCUUCAAUGAGGUCUGUGAGCCCUGGGCUGCCUCCCUAAACAGUUUUCCAACAUGAGAAUGACAUGCCCAGGACCCUGCAAGGGGAAAGGCUGGGUCUUGGGACUUUUCCCCCGUGGGUGUUCGCAGACUCAAGAUGAAAGGAAGCUCUCCAGCCAUUCUGGGAAACAGUAUGGAGUUUCCUUCAAAAAUGAAAAAUAGAUUUACCGUGUGAUCCAGCAAUCCUAUUCCUGGGCAAAUACCCAGACAAAACUCUAAUUCCAAAUGAUACAUACACCCCAAUGUUCAUUGCAGCACUCUAUACAAUAGCCAAGACAUGAAGAAACCUAAAUGUCCAUCAACAGAUGAAUGGAUUAAGAAGAAGUGGUACAUGUAUUCAAUGGAACACUACUCAGCCAUAAAAAAGAAUGAAAUAAAGCCCUGUGCAGCAGCA